UUCUGUUGCAAUUAUCUUGCAAAUCACCUUUAAAUUACGCUCCAGUGUCGAUGUUUACCUGAAAAUAAUAUGUUUCGUCGUCCUUGUUAGGCCUAGUAACGACAGCGAUCACAGGCAAAUAGCGAGAAAAACGCUACAAACGGCCAAAAUUUUUAAUUUUAUGACAUACUUUUAUUCAUAUACACACCUUUGCCCGUUCUCUGUUCAGUCUUGUUAUGUUUCAUAGUUGAAAUACGUAUAAUACCGGCAGUCUGUUCCAACUAGCGGUUCUGCCGGCCAAUCAGUUCUGCUUCUGCUACUUCUGCCUUCUGCUAUUCUGCGUCUUCCCGGCGUGCCCCUCACCAUCCAGAUGGCGCCGUUAAAAGUGGACGCAAAAUCCAUUAUGUUGCUAGGUCGUCAGGGAAUAGCCUAUUCAAUCUAAUCCAAUCCAGUUUCCCGAAAAUGUCGGCACCCAGUUAAUACAGGUAAUAUAUAGCUUGGAUAGCCUGGGGUUAAUAGCGAACUGUAUUUUGGCUCGUGAUUGGCCAGAGAGCUCAAAAAGUGGGUGGAGCUCCAGGUAUAGGCAUGUUCCAUUAAUGGCCAGACUCCCUUUGGCAUACACGGCUCUGGUUUAUCGAGGACGCUAUAAGUUCGAGACCGCGUGGAAACGCACAUGCCAGGCCUCUUUCCCUUCAUAUUUCGAAGUUCACCAAGUGAAGUCACGUGCGGCUUGCGUCAUUUCGGUUAUACUAUUGUUCGAUAUUUCCUGGGACACAAAUUCACGUAUCUGUAUGCCCAAUAUGGGGAUAAGUCGACUUAUCCCCCUUUUACUCAUUUGGCUGCAGAGACAUACAGAGUGUUUGCUCUAACGUGUCCAGAAAUUAUAUUUAAAGCGAGCGAUAAAAGAAAAGCAAGUUGUACUUUUCUGCUUCUUGAGUAAGAAACAGGUACUGCUUCACUAGUAGCACCUGUUUCUUUGUCAAGUAGCUGAAAAGUAGCGCUCAUUUCUCUUUUAUCGCCGUCCACCUUCCUCAUGAAUAGCCUGAAGUCGGCGUUGGCCUUGUAUGUUGACACCAACCCCAGGCCCUGUAUCUUGCGGUAAGUGCUCUGUCACCAGUGGAAAAAAUAACACCUCGUCUUCAUGUCUUUGUGAAGGACACACCCCACGGCAUUGAUGGCUGCAGGAUCAAAGUUCAUCGUGACUUCUUCCAGGUCUGGGGUAACACCCAAACGUUCGCAUGCGUUCACUGUCGCCCUCAGGAACUCUUCGUAGGUUUUCCUUGUCUUGCUCACCAUGAGGGCGAAGACUGCUGGAACUACACUCUGCCCCAAAGGUACAAGUACGAAGUAGAGUUGCCGAAACCAAUUAGGCACCAGGUCAAAGUUCCCAUCCAUGAACCACAGGUCGUUCCAUGCUAAAAUCCUCAGGCACACAGGAGAACCAAAAAUUAGCAGCCUCUCGUUGCCACUGCCUGCUCUGUUGUCAUAGAAUAGGAAGUGCUCUAGUUGAAGUCCCUCAUUUGUGGACCAUGGCUCUUCGACGAUAAGGUCUGAAAGGCUGGCCGGCACAGGAGGGUAAUGUGAUGAUCACCGCAUUCGAAUGCUUCGCCUGAUGCUUUGUUCACUCUUUAGCAUGCCCUUCUUUUCUCUUGUAAGUUAUAACGUGCACUGAGAAAUCAUGGCUGCAGGCGGCGCCACUGUACAAUGAGAUAGUUCCUUGAUCUUCGUCCGGACCUUCCUUAUUGAUUUUGCAGACGUCUGGGGUAUGAUUGUGAGGGGUCAAGACCAUUACUCCACCAGCAGACGUUAUUGCUGCCCCUUUGCAAGCUCCCGUCCUGUGGACACUGCCAACGGGUACCAGUCUUCAGGAGCUUCUGCUUCGUGUACUGAUAUCCUUUGAACGCCAAGCAUUCGCUGCCCUUUGCUGUUUUCAGAAUUUUCAUUUUGCUGAUCUGAAAUAUAUGUAGGAAGGUAUUUCCAUGUGGGCUUAGGCUUUCCACAGUGUGUUAAGAAAAAGUCUGGAUCGGAUCCCAAUACUGACAAUACAAUGACUCAAAUAAUUAGGGUAGCUAAAAGCAUAGAAGGUACAACUUACCUAAGGGUGCUCCAAGGGACGUGGUGGUUGCUGCCACGUUACCACGGUCCAGAGGAAAGUACCAGUGUGCCCUGCUGAGCGUUUCUUUUCCUUUCUACAAUUAAACCAUGGUCCGUGUGGCCAAGGUGAAUGCACUUCACUUCUUGUUACCCCGCGCUCUGGGCAAAUCCCUUCAGAGUAGGAUGCCUUUUAUCCCUGCCUUGUAUCCACAGAUCUUACCAGUAAUUGUGCCUUCCUAAGCUUUUCUCUUAUGUUCCACAGACAAACCUAUGGCCCCUGUGAACAAGGUAGAUGACCUGAGUGAGUUCUUUGACCACUUUCACGGGGAACGUUCGCUGAAACAGUAAAGCUGGCAUGGGUUUUCCCCAUGACACAAUUUUCUGUGCCACGGUUCUACGACUAAAUGUGAGUCGUCUACUCUUCGUUUGUUAUCUUGUAAACCGUCAUCUGACCUCUGUGGCCAAGGGAAGUGAGCUUCGUCCACAGGCCUUCGCGUAUUGUAGAACACUUUCUCAUGGUUUAAAUGCUUAUCACCAUCCUCAGGUUCCUCCUGUAUGUCGCCUUUUUUUUUUUUUUUCUUUUCAGUCUCUCUUGGUAUUAUUAUCCCUUCUCUUUUUCGAAGGGGCGCAAAUAAAUUGCGUGGAGCGAAGCUGUCCCAGCAUAUCGCAGUAUAGGGUACCUCCUGUUUGUAGUCUUCUUUCCUCCUCCUUUUUUUGUGUGUGGGUGCCUUUUUAUCACUUGCAGUGAUGGAACUGCUGCGCCAUUUGCGCCAAAGUGCGCCAUUUGGGAUUGCCUGCGCAACCCCGCGCCGAAAAAGCAAUUUUCCCUAAUUCUGCGCCACAGCUGCGCCGAACAAAGAUGGCCUGGUUCGAACGCAUGAACACGAAACAAAAACCGCGAGCGAUGCUCCCGCGCCCUCUCUAUUCUCGUCAUGCCUCUGAACAACGAAGCCGAGUCACGCCAAGUCACAGGCCCCAAGAAAAAACGCAACAAUAAGUGCGAAGUAUACUCGCUCCGAAUACUGUGUCGUCUAUCCUUGUACAAAGGAAUGUACAGGACUACCGAUAUUCCCCCAGUAGCUCACUAUACAGGGUGUUCAAAAUUAAGCUUUCACUAUCACUUUAUAAAUAGGCGAACAAAAGAAAACUGGUGCUACUUUUUCUGUUCCUUGAGUAAGAAACAGGUGCUACAUAAUUAGCAGCACCUGUUUCUUACACAAGUAGCGUAAAGUUAUCAUCCGGUUUCCUGUCAUCGCUGUGUUUGCGUAGCGCUCGUGAAACUUCGCUGUUUGUUCGUUCCUCUUUUCCCCGUUCUCCGCAGUGUGUCGCCACCCCUAACGUGGAAUCGUGCAAUAUGUUUUCUAUGUUAACUUAAUACAAGAAUCGUACGUUGUUGUACUUCAAAGAGAAGUUGUCAACAAUAAAGCGCACUGUUAGUGCAUCAAGUGUGUGCGUACUGGACGAAAGGUGGUGGUGGUGGUGCAAAUUUACCGAGCAUUGGACACGUCACGUGCCUGCGAUAGAAUGUUGGCUCGUUUGCAUGGGAGUUGUUUUUAAACAACUGCGUUUUAACUAAUUGUGGAUAGGCAUAACUGACGAUGCUGAUUCCGGAGUUGCCGGCGCCUGUACUAUGGAUCACUCCAGGCUUUCCGCUACUGCGUAACAUCGCGCGUGCUCGCAGGGUGUAGGCGCGUAAGGACAGCGCGAGCAAUUGAGCAUUCAGGACUUGAACCGUACAUGCCGAUACUUGUUCCCAGAUGUCCUGAACCCCAAUAUUCACUAGAAAGUGGAGAGUAUGUAUUGCAAACACGAUGUAUUGCGCGGGACGCAGUGGAAUACAUACGGCGGAGGUGCGCCAUUCUGUGAAAUUCUGCGCCAAAUGCGUUUUUUUUUUUGCGCCAGAGCCAGCGCCCGCGGGCUUGGAGGUAGUUCCAUAACUGCACUUGCUUCACAACCUCGCACCCACUCUAGUGAUUGUUACGAGGAACAUUUUCUCUGGGAACAUUUCUUCCGGGGCAUUUUUUAUGUUUCCUGCAGACAGGAACUUCAACUUCCACUCAAGGUACAUGAUCUCCCUCUACCUCACGUGACCGUGUCAGCGGUGCUAUUGAGUGUUGUAAUCGGAAAAACGUGUGUACCAAUCUAAUAAGUCCUAUUAUACUGUCCACCUAGAACAUUAUUUUCAUGGUUGUGCUCCUUUACCAACACAAUCAGAUCGAUCCUAGCUGCUCCAUUGCACUAAGAUGACUUUGCUCCGCCUGGCAUCACCAUCAAUGUCUGACUAGUGAAAUCUGCUUUUUCUGCAUGAAAACCCUGUACCCUUACUUCAUCUCGGGAAGCCCUGUAUAUGGAAACUUGCGCCAACAUACCCUCGUCAUCGAUAGCACUUUAUUUAGCGAAGGAACAUGUUCUAUGGUUGUUCAAGGUACAGUGGCAGGAUGAAGGCCCAUGGGUAUGGGUGUGGGUAUCUUAAGCACAGCAGUUGCUGUUGAAAGGUAGGUAAAUUUCCGUGUCUGCCUCCAUGUUUUGUAUGUAUACAAUGUGUAACUCGGUGUCCAAGACAGUUGUAACAAAGCAGCUCAUAACCUGAAUGAUACGUGUAUCACGCAUCACAGGGACGUAUUGUUUGUGUGGGGAACCAUU